CCUACGGGUGGCAGCAGUGAGGAAUAUUGGUCAAUGGCCGGAAGGCUGAACCAGCCAAGUCGCGUGAGGGAAUAAGGCCCUAUGGGUCGUAAACCUCUUUUGUCGGGGAGCAAAAGCCGCCACGCGUGGCGUUCCGAGAGUACCCGAAGAAAAAGCAUCGGCUAACUCCGUGCCAGCAGCCGCGGUAAUACGGAGGAUGCGAGCGUUCUCCGGAUUUAUUGGGUUUAAAGGGUGCACAGGCGGAAGAUCAAGUCAGCGGUAAAAUUGAGAGGCUCAACCUCUUCGAGCCGUUGAAACUGGUUUUCUUGAGUGAGUGAGAAGUAUGCGGAAUGCGUGGUGUAGCGGUGAAAUGCAUAGAUAUCACGCAGAACUCCGAUUGCGAAGGCAGCAUACCGGCGCUCAACUGACGCUCAUGCACGAAAGUGUGGGUAUCGAACAGGAUUAGAUACCCGUGUAGUC
rnacentral:rRNA from 1 species